CGUGGACACCCAGAGUCCGGCUCCGGGACUUGAUCGAAACGUUUUUCACCUUCCUCCGCCACCCCACGGCCCCGUCGGCCCAUUUCCGCGGUGACGCGCAGGAGGAGACCCUGCCCUCUCCUGGGCACCGCGGGCAAGGCGCCGCCCCCACCCCCGGGCGCCCUCCGUCCUCAGCCCCCCGCCCACCCGCGCAGAUCGGCCUGGGGACCCCGGCCAGGCCCGGGUGCGUUCCUCCGCGCUGGCUUGACGGGGACGCGAAGGGCCCGGGCGCGGAGCCACAGGUGCGCUCGCGGCCCCCGGCGAUGGCGCAGCCAACUGGAGGGGACAGGCGGGUCCCGCCGAGCCGGAUCCCAGCGCCCGCCCCUGCAGAGGAGCCGAACCGAGGGGGCCUAAGGGGAACGCACCUGGGGAUCCUCGGGACUCCAACGCCCUCGGGUGGCCCCGCCGUUGUGGUCUUCGGGUGAUCAAGAAUUUGGGAGAGCCACCACUUUGUGGAAAAGUCUUCACCAGAAAUAAUUUCUUCAGCAGGAAAAUAAAGAUGAAAAUACGAGAGCUGUUUUGGUUGGAUAACAUAAAAAUAUAAGUUGCACAAUUUAUUUAUUUAGUUGCCGUUUGGGGGAGGGAACUGACAGCCGCACACCUGCUAAGCAAGGGCACGCCCACCGAACCACCUCGAAGCCCUGUAUUUCCGCUUUUUUUUUUUUUUUUUUGGUAGCAGGGAUCAAACUCUGGACCUUGCGGUUGUGAGGCAGGCCGCAGAACCACUCAGCUAAACCCCCGGCCCUAAACUGCUCUUUAAUAAACGUCACUUCCAGAUCUUUACGUGAAAUAUUUCUCACUUUACGAAACAAUGCCAGUUAUCUUACUUUACAAUGUAUUUCUGAAAUGUUUAUGAACUGAAAAGAAAGAAACCGAAAUACAAAUAUCAAAUUAUAUUUGCCUAUUCCAGAGGGAGCAGGAGAGUUUUCUACCUUUGCCGUAUUUGCCUCAACCUUUUAUGCACAACCUUUGACAAAAUGUCUUGCUCUUUUUUCCCUUAGUAAAGCCAGAGCCGACCGGCUUAAAUACAAGGGGUCAAAAAGAUGAGAUAAAAGUUUACCACUGUUAGCACCUGCAAUAAUGUCCCUCACUGCCUCUGUUUCCUCUUAUUUUUAAUAAGGCUAAGCCAUCAAGCCAUUGUUCAAAUACUUAUACAACACUAAUGUAGAAACACAAGACAGUGUUUCUUCUUAAACAAUCCAGAAGUCAGCUUCAGCACAAACAGCCUGUAAUGUCCAGUGGUUGUGGGGAAAAAUGCUGCUUCAGGGUGUUAGUAAAAAUGCACAAAAUCAGUUUUCCCUCUUUACACCUCAUUUAUGCAGCAAAUGAUUAUAAUCUAUGAUAUAGAAGGUUCAAUACCAAACUUAGCAAAUGACAAAGAUGAGUAAGGUACAGCCAUGGUCCUUAAAAAUGUUACAGUAAAACUUUGAUGUAAACAAUUAAGGGGUUCCCUUUUCCCAAUAAUGUGUAAUACAAAGGUCAGGGAGGCCAGAUAUGGUGGUGCACAUGAGUAUUCCCAGCAACUCCUGAGCCUGGGGCCAGGCAGGCCAAGUUGGAGGCCAGCCUGGGCGAUUCAGCUGAAAAGUCUGGGGAUAUAACUCAGGAUAGAGUGCUUGCCUAGUCUGCAGGAGGCCCUGGGUUUGAUCUCCAGUACCACGAAGAAGAAAAAAAGGUGACAUGGACUUGCAUACAUUUGUGAACCCUUCCCAGAGAUGAAGAAACUCCCUCUCAGCCAAGACAGCUGGCGCAGGAUAGUCAAAAACCAGGCUCUGGGCCCCACACAGACCCAUGCUCCACCCAGACUCAGAGCUGUUUGGUCUGUUUACAAAAGGGAAGGCCUAGCAGGCAGGAAGGCCUGGGCUCAGUCCCCUGAUGCUGCAAAAGCAAAACCCAACCAGUGGGGGAUGGUGAAAGGCACAACCCACCAGAUAACCCCUCCAACCACCAUUGCUGCCAACCUACCUCAGUACAUCCUGCCACCUUCGCCAAUGCUCAGGAACACAGUGGCUGCCAAGCCCGGGUCUGACAGAGAAUGGUUUUCAUUUAUCUUUCUCUAAAGGUGAUCCAUAAAAAUAAGGGGUGAAAUGAGUAGGUUGACAAGGUAGAGAGAUGGAACUCAGACACACACACAUUAGUCAUCUAGGUUGCUCCUCUGGAAGACCACAGUUCUGAUCUUUCUGCUACAAUUUACUUGCACAAGGGCUCAACUUCUUCAUGUGGAAAAUGGAAAUAAUAAUACCCUGCCAACCUUCCAGAUCGCCGGAGAGCAUAUGAUGAGAUAAAAUGUGAGGGUUUUUUUUGUUUUUUGAAACAGGGUAUGUCUUUGUAAUUCAAGCUGGCCUUGAAUUCGCUAUGUAGCCCAGUCUGACUUAAAACUCACAGUGAGCCUCCUGCCUCAGCCUGCUGAGUUGCUAGGAUUACAGGCAUGCACCACUGUGCCGAGCGGUGGAACCACUCAUCAAACCAAAAGCCCUUGACUGGAUGUGAAAUUUUAACCUUUAAUGUUUCCAUCUUUAUCCCACGUGUAAAUCAGUAAACCUCCUUCUUGAAAAUGCCUCAUAUUCAUUCAUUUAAAAAGCCAUAUUGGGCCAGGGAUUUAGCUCAGUGGUUCUGCCACCUGCCUUGCAGGUGCAAGGACUGGAGUUCUUGCCCCGGUACCAAAAAAAAAAAAAGCCACAUUAAGAAUCUACUCAUGUGCCCAUAACAACAGACACAAGGCUACAUGUCACCCCAGGAUAAGGAAGGUACGGACUUUGACCUAUAGGCUACCAAAGUCUGUGUUAGGAAAACAAUCACAACACAACACUAGAUGUAUUAUAAUAAAAGUGUAUUUACAGAAUUGUGGCAACACAGCGAAGGGCUUUAGACAGUUCCAAUCCACAGUCUGCCACCUCUUCACAAGUUGAUCCGACAGACGAAGCUAUUUUUUUCCCUGCCACUUGAGAUACCACCCCUCUACUGAUAGAGCAGAUCCAGGACAGGCAACCUUGGAAAUGACCUUGCAGUCAGUACCCUGAGCAGAAUUUUUAAAUUAAACAGAACCCC
rnacentral:lncRNA from 1 species